rnacentral:rRNA from 1 species
CCUACGGGUGGCUGCAGUGGGGAAUAUUGCGCAAUGGGCGAAAGCCUGACGCAGCGAAGCCGCGUGAGGGAUGAAGGUCCUCGGAUUGUAAACCUUUGUUUGUAGGGAAGAACGGUCACUGUGCUAAUCAGCAGUGAAUUGACGGUACCUGCAAAGGACGCACCGGCCAAUUCCGUGCCAGCAGCUGCGGUAAUACGGAGGGUGCGAGCGUUAAUCGGAUGUACUGGGCGUAAAGCGCUCGUAGGCGGUAUGUCAAGUCAAGGGUGAAAGCCCUGGGCUCAACGUGGGAACUGCCGUUGAAACUGGCAAACUGGAGUGUGUGAGAGGAUAGUGGAAUUCGAGGUGUAGGGGUGAAAUCCGUAGAUAUCAGGAGGAACAUCGAUGGCGAAGGCAACUAUCUGGCACAUAACUGACGCUGAGGAGCGAAAGCGUGGGUAGCAAACAGGAUUAGAUACCCCAGUAGUC